CAAUAGCGUAUAUUAACGUUGUUGCAGUUAAAAAGCUCGUAGUUGGAUUUCUGGAGGGAGCGUCGACCCGUAUUUACGAGUGCGUGACGUCUCUGUCCAUCCUUGCGGGAAGGCACGGCAUUGAUUUGUUGUGUCGGAUCGCAUCAUUUACUGUGAAAAAAUUAGAGUGUUCAAAGCAGGCUUUCGCUUGAAUACAUUAGCAUGGAAUAAUAAGAUAGGACUUUGGUGCUAUUUUGUUGGUUGAGCCUAAAGUAAUGAUUAAUAGGGAUAGUUGGGGGCACCUGUAUUGCGUUGUCAGAGGUGAAAUUCUUGGAUUUACGCAAGACAAACAGCUGCGAANGNGUCUGCNAAGGAUGUUUNCAUUA
rnacentral:rRNA from 1 species